CGAACGCUGGCGGCAGGCCUAAUACAUGCAAGUCGAACGGCUCUUCGGAGCAGUGGCGGACGGGUGAGUAACGCGUGGGAAUGUGCCCUUAGGUACGGAACAACACAGGGAAACUUGUGCUAAUACCGUAUGUGCCCUUCGGGGGAAAGAUUUAUCGCCUUUGGAGCAGCCCGCGUUGGAUUAGGUAGUUGGUGAGGUAAAGGCUCACCAAGCCGACGAUCCAUAGCUGGUCUGAGAGGAUGACCAGCCACACUGGGACUGAGACACGGCCCAGACUCCUACGGGAGGCAGCAGUAGGGAAUCUUGCGCAAUGGGUGAAAGCCUGACGCAGCCAUGCCGCGUGUAUGAUGAAGGUCUUAGGAUUGUAAAAUACUUUCACCGGGGAAGAUAAUGACGGUACCCGGAGAAGAAGCCCCGGCUAACUUCGUGCCAGCCGCCGCCGUAAUAC
rnacentral:rRNA from 1 species